rnacentral:tRNA from 1 species
GUUCGGUCCCGCGCGCGGUUAGGACAUCUUUUCAAGCCGAAGACACGGGUUCGAUUCCCGUAUGGGAUA